CCGCCCGCGCGGGGGGACAUCCCCCGCCUCGCCUCCGCAUCCCGGCCUCCCAGCGCUGCUGGCCGCUCUGUUCCUCCCCGGGCACAGCGGUCAAGGCACAGGGUGGUGCCGGCAGCGCCAGGAACGCGGAGCUAAAGGCCACCCACCUCCCCAGGCACCCGGCUCGAAGGCACCGACUAACCCAGCCAUUUCCCCCGGCAUCCCCCUUCCCCAGGCACCACGGCUCAGUCCUGCUGCUUCUCAGCAUGUUGGUCAUUCACAGAAGCCCAAGGCUGGCGCCAAGCCCUCCCUGUCACGUUUCGUGAGCACAUCCCAAGGGAGAUUCUGGUCAUCCAUUGCUCGCAUUCCCUCGUGUCUGCAUACACACGUCGAAAAGUAGGAACAUUUGAAAGAAAGAAUAAAUCCAGGAACACAGGCAGAUAAACAGCACUGUUCAUUGCUAUGCAACAAAUCGCAAAGGUCAGCAGACCCUGACCCUGAAAAGCAGCUGUGUUAUAGCAGUUACUGGAAAACACCAGUCCUUGCACAUAAAAUUGCUUCAAGCAAGAACAUCUUUCCCAGAAAGACUGAGAUCUGCAUGCUGGAUCACGCUUGUCCUCUGAACAGCUAGAGGUGCCUGAGUAAGAAGACAGAUGUUGAGAGCUGGGAUGGUCCCUCUCACUGCCAUGAAGUUUGCCACUAUUCACGACUCUCUGUGCUCCAAGGGAGCGGUUCCCCAUCCUUCUUUUCCUUUGCAAAAGGUGAAAGAUAGUUCAUGGUCUGGCUGCUUGAAAUUAGGACACUAAAAACACACUACAGCUGGGGAAGAUGAAGAACUGGCCCAGAGGAGAGGUAUUAACCAUGCAUUUCCUAUCUUGCUGAAUGGGGGCUGAUGAGCUAAACUGCAGCAUUAAUGAUUCCUAAAUGUUAUGUAUUUUCUCCCUACUUCCUGCUGGAUGGGGACUGACACCACAGAGUUCCAGCUGGCUGGUCUUUUCUUCCCAGGAGAAUUCACCUCUUUGCCUAAGUAACUGAAUGAGAUGCAAAAGCAAGUACAGACGAGGAGAGAUGUGGGGCCUGCAUGUCCUCAGCAGAAAUGCUGUGUUCACUUCCCACUUGUUCUUCGCUGCUUUUCCAUUCUUUGCUCUCCUCCUUUCUGGGCACAGCUAUAGGGCCUGUAGCCCUUGAUGUCUGAACCAGAUUCUCCCACAAUCCUUGACAGCAGCAUUCCAGACUGGAUUAAGUAGGACUUCAGGCUGGCCUGAGCCAUGCAGAGCUGGCAGAAGAUGGAGCUGCAGAGGGGCACAACAAAGAGGCUCAGCUGCUCCCUGGUGGGGAUCUCCCAUGGCUCCCUCCAGCCGGGCCUGCACCCACAUCCAGCCACUCUGCCCACGGGCUUCUGCUGUUUGAGAAGAGCAGGACUUGUCUGGCAAGUGGGACAGAGAGACACCUGCCUGGACAGAAAGAGCAUGGAAAUGGGAGGACCAGGAGAGCUGGUGAGGCUCUGCUGGUUCCAGUGCCAGGUGGGAAGCUUUGCCUUCAGAGAUGGUGGCUUCUUUGAUGUCUCUUCACCCUUUGUGGACACAGCCUGCACCCCCAGCUGGAGGCACUGGAAAAGCUGGCAGCUGUCGUGAUCUUCUCUCCGCUGGGAACAGACUGAAACUGUUUUUCUUCAGGACUGUUUUAUGAGGAGCGGGAAGAGAGCACCCGGACAGAGCACUAAGGAUUAACUUUAAAAAUGUGUCUCCCUUUGACAAAAUGUUUGAGCUUUGCCAGUUCCUUUACGUUCUCUCUCACUGGCUGAGGACAGCCUUGUCCUGAAUAGGAAAACGGGAACAGUGCAAGAGCACAGAUGUCUGACAUCUUCCUGUCUUCUGGCUCAGAGAGACGGAGAUUAAUAAAAGCUGCCAGAGAAAUGCCUUGGAAUAACCCUUUCUGGUAGGAGACACAGUAUCCUGGAAACACCCAUCACUUGGCAGAGACACUAAUUUCAUUCCUUAGCUACACAAGCAAAUUUCUUUAAGUCUUCUCAAGAUCAUUUUUUUAGACUGGAUUGCAAAUGUUUUAUGUUAAAACAAAAACAAACAAAACACAACAAAAAAAACCCAACCACUUUGUUUCGUUCUGUUUUACAUAUGUGGCAUUUCCUAAAAGGAACAAAUUGUUGAAACAAUGAAAUAUUUUCCUUUUUUACAGCCCUAUCUUUCAUUAAGAGACAGUUUGCCUAACAUCUCUUCUUCCCUGUUAAGAUGAUGGAUGGGGCUGAACAAGACUUACUGGAUCCAGUGAGGUGCCAUUUGCGUCACCAGCCACAGUGGUCAUUGGGGAAUGAUCUGCCAUUUCAAUUGUUUCAAAGAGAGAUGAAGAGGAAAAUGGAGCAGGCUGAGAUUUAUUACAGUGGAUGGAACAGACUUUGAAGUUAGACAAGUGGAAAUUUGGAUUAUUUGCAGGAACAGAUCCUAUGUGAGGCUGUUGAGUUAGGCAGGGCCCUGAUUUUGGAGGAAACAUCACGAGUGUGCUCAGACAUGAAACCUCCAAGAAAGACAGUUGGAGGCUGCCUUAGCAAUCUAGAAAGUGGGGCAUCAGUGAUGAACCAGAGAAUGGAGUUCAUCCUCACUGCACUGCUCAAUAAGCUGGGCCCAGCUCUCCCCUGGAUGUCAUUCCAUUAUAGUUGCUGGAGGGACACUGGAAGGGACUUCAGAAUAACAGGUGAAACUUUGGUCUUCUACAAGUCAGCUUCCAUUUUGCUGCAGAAGGCUUUCCUUUGCACUCUUGAGACCACUAGAGAGGAGGAGAUGAACUCUAACAACUAAGAAAAGGCCAGCCAUCAGAUUUACUGCCUAAACAGUGAUCUCACCUGCAGAGAUUUUUACAUGGCCUCUAACACUUCCCAACUCCUAACGUGAAAGCCCUGAACUACCUGCACUGUCACAUUCCCAUCCUCUCCCAGGGAAAUCAACUGGAUGGAAAGUGACAAGUAUACACAAGUCCUGUGAACUCUUAGGAACACUUCUGAAAGCUGAGCUAAGGAGAAUGAGAGACAAAAUGUCCAUGUUACUGGAAGUGGUAAGUGCCCUAGAAAGCCUUCCCAAAAUUCUUGAGACACACACCAGUGACUCUUUCACUGCUCGGCCUCACUGAAACUGCGAAUUUGUCAGUGGUUUAAUGUUCCCUCCAUGCCUUUUUCUCACCUCCAGUCCAUCAAGCUGAUGGACAGUUCUGCUCAUGGAGAAACCUGUAAUAAUUCCAUGGAAGCGAAAAGACUGAAUCUUAGAGGAGUGAAAUCAGACCAUGAGGAUUUAGUAGCAAAUUUUACAGGGACAGAGAGAAUCGGGGUUGGGGCUGUUCUAAAAGAAACCGUUUGACCAAACACUUUCUAAGUUCUUUCCUCCUCCUUCCUUUCUGAACACAGUUAUUUGUCCCAGUAGUUAGAUUCACACUCUUUCAUGUCCAAACUAAUUUCUUUCACAUGAUUAAUCAGCAGCUGGAGGCAGGUGAUGUCAUGGACUUUGACAUUAGAUUGUCAUCAAAUAUUACAUUUCUCUCUUUUUUAACUAAACAGCUGCAGUGAUGGCUUUGCUGGCUGGUGGCCAGCUGAGUCUCUCCACAGAAAUGUAACACUCCUUGACUCUGUUUUCCCAUAUUCCCAACUUGUUUGCUCUGUGAUGGAAAACUUUACUUCCUUGGCGAGACACUUAGUAGCACCUACAGUUGCAAUGCAUCCAAGAAAAAUAUACUGCAAGGACCAGGGGAGUCCUUACAGGCCUGACAAAAGAGGGAUUCAUCCCUUUUCCUUUAGAGGGAAAGUAGUGCUGGGGCAGCUUCCAUGUCCUAAGGUAAUUGAACAAAUAGAUUUUCAUUUUAGAUGGAAGAUGGAUGGAAGGAGUUUGGAGUCCCUCAGAUGCAGGCUGUCAAUAUGAACACACAUUUCAAUUGCAUUUACAUGAAAACAAAAUGUGUCUCAGCUUCCAGACAUCCAGAAAAAGGAUGAUGAUCCUUGCAGGAAGAGUGCAGGACAAUUUUCUGU